GUCCAAACGUGACCAGACUAAGUUCUUAGAGAACUCCGUUAUUUGGGUCAAGACACCUAAGAAUGCGUGCCAGUUUUUAGCUCUGUCGUCUAACUUUAAACAGAUUUAAUCGGGUUAAGUCAGUGAGUUAGGCCUAACAAGCUCAGAUAACAUUGUCAAGGCAAACAUUAC
rfam:Limnoraphis robusta CS-951 contig256, whole genome shotgun sequence.